rnacentral:lncRNA from 1 species
UUUGAGAUUGAGCUUGAAACCUUCAUCUACAUCUAGUAAUUUAGUACUUGUUAUACUUGUUCUUGCUAGUUCUUUGAUCGCUUGCAGGACGAGUGGCCUAGCGGCCGGGUGAUGCACUCCACAAGAUCGUGGCAGCCAUUGGAGGUGGUGUAUCGGUUGCUAAGGCACAGCAUCCUUAGAAGGGUGUAGUCGGGCCAUGAAUGUCAUCUCUAUCCACUAAUCGAGUUAUCCCAUGCCUCUCAUCGAAAGAUCGGGAAUAAACCCUAGCGGGUUCAUAUCAC